CUGCUGCCUUCCGUAGGAGUCUGGGCCGUGUCUCAGUCCCAAUGUGGCCGGUCACCCUCUCAGGUCGGCUACUGAUCGUCGGCUUGGUGAGCCGUUACCUCACCAACUACCUAAUCAGACGCGGGCCCAUCUUACACCACCGGAGUUUUUACCACUUAGCCAUGCAGCUCUGUGGUCUUAUGCGGUAUUAGCAGUCAUUUCUAACUGUUAUCCCCCUGUGUAAGGCAGGUUGCCCACGCGUUACUCACCGUCCG
rnacentral:rRNA from 1 species